rnacentral:rRNA from 1 species
AGUAAGAUGACGAGUGGCGGACGGGUGAGUAAUGCUUGGGAACUUGCCUUUGCGAGGGGGAUAACAGUUGGAAACGACUGCUAAUACCGCAUAAUGUCUUCGGACCAAACGGGGCUUCGGCUCCGGCGCAAAGAGAGGCCCAAGUGAGAUUAGCUAGUUGGUAAGGUAACGGCUUACCAAGGCGACGAUCUCUAGCUGUUCUGAGAGGAAGAUCAGCCACACUGGGACUGAGACACGGCCCAGACUCCUACGGGAGGCAGCAGUGGGGAAUAUUGCACAAUGGGGGAAACCCUGAUGCAGCCAUGCCGCGUGUGUGAAGAAGGCCUUCGGGUUGUAAAGCACUUUCAGUUGUGAGGAAAAGUUAGUAGUUAAUACCUGCUAGCCGUGACGUUAACAACAGAAGAAGCACCGGCUAACUCCGUGCCAGCAGCCGCGGUAAUACGGAGGGUGCGAGCGUUAAUCGGAAUUACUGGGCGUAAAGCGCACGCAGGCGGUUUGUUAAGCUAGAUGUGAAAGCCCCGGGCUCAACCUGGGAUGGUCAUUUAGAACUGGCAGACUAGAGUCUUGGAGAGGGGAGUGGAAUUCCAGGUGUAGCGGUG